ACUACAAGGUAAGGCAACAUUUGGAAAAAACCACCAAAAUACUAAAUGAAAAAGAAGGAGGACUAGGAGGAGGAAAAGGAGAAGAAGGAACAAGAAGAAAGGGAGAAAAGGGGAAAAAAGGAAAGGAAGAAGGGAAGGAAGACUAAAGUAAUCCCUCCAGAAAAAUGUGAUCUACCUGUUUAGAAUGUGAGACUACUACAUUUUAUUAAUUCAACAUUUUAUAUCCUUAUAAAUUCAAAUCUUUUUUUAAAAUUCAAAUCUUAAAAUGAAUAUAUUGCUAGACAUACAUGUGUUUCCAUUGUUAUUACUAACACUUUAAGUAACUAUUUUAAUUUUAGUAAAAUGAUUUAAGCGGAUGCUUCAGACCAACACCCUGUUUUUACAUAAGUUCUUUCAUAUGCAUCUCCAGAUAAAACAGGAAAUCUGAGUGCAGCCCAUUCCGUUGCAAUUUUCUUCAUUUUAUGCCAGAUUCCUAUGGCUAGUAGCUCUACAUCUGGUAGCAGGCUUAAAAAGUCAUCCACAAUCCGAGUUUAUGUAAGUCUUGAACUAUAUUUUAUUAUAAUACCCCAUCAACUUAUUUUAAAAUGUAUGUUUUUAAUCCAUCAGGAAUUAAUUUUAUUAUAUAGUGUAAUAUGUUAUAUCAAUACCACUUAUUAAAACUUCUAUUACUUUCCUUACUGACCUGAUAUGCUUCCUUUAUCAUAUACUUACUACAUGUCCUUUAGGCGUGUUUCUGACUUUCAUAUUUUGUUACAUUGAUACUUGUUUCAACAUACUGUUUGAAUUAUUUUUAGAAUGUAAGUUAACAUUUUGUACAAUGAGGCUGUGUCACUAUCCUUCCAAAAAUGUUUUUACAAUUCUCACAUUUUUCUAUUGUACUCCAAAUUAACUCAUUAAACAUUUGGCAAAAUUCUUAAGAAAAAUCACUUGCUAUACUGAAUAAUAUUUUACUAAAUUAAUAGAUUAACUCUGAAGAAAUAAAUUUUUAUGUUAUUAAACCCUCUAACUCAGUACUAGAAUAAGUCUGUACACACCUUUGUGUCUUCAUUUACUAUCUUAAUUAAUCUUUUAAAUUUCUCUGUUUAGGUUAGUACUACAGUUAAAUAUUUUUCUCACUGUCUAUGUGAUACUUCACUAUUUUGAAUUCUUUUACUGUUAUAGAUUCUAAAUCUAAGUUGCCUACAGUUGUUAAAUAAUUAUUUUGUGAUUGACUCUUUGCCUUAUUAUAUUAUUGCUUAUCAUACUUCAGUUGAUUCAGGUGAUUACCUUGGGCUUUCCAAGUACAGAGCAUAUAAUCUAUAUGUAGUGUUGUUUUGUCUCUUUUUUUGGUAAUAGUUAUGCCCAUGAUGUGUUUUGUAGCAAUUAAAUAGAAUAUUCCUAAGUGCUGAAAGUAGAAGUGACUCCAGAAUUUUACCAUUAAAAAUUAUGUGGUCUGUUUUAAGACAGUCUUUAUCAUGUGAAAGAGCUAUGUUUUGAUUGCACAUUUUUGAGCAGUCUUCCAGAGAAUAUUAAAUUUUAUCAAUUUAAUAUACAAAGAAGACUACAUUACUUUUCUUCCUCAAAUUAACUGUCCUUAAAGUAUUACAUAACCAAGGAGGUUAUGUAAUACUGCUUAAUUUGAUUUGCUAAUGGUUUAUAAAAGAGUUUUGUAAUCUUAUUCAAAAAUGUGAUUGACAUAUGUUCUUUGUGUUUUCAUGAUAUCUUGUUUAGUUAUUGGCAAGAAGAGUCUAAAAGAACAGCAAAUAUUUCAAAAUUUCUAUCUUUUUCUAUAGCUGGAAUAAUUUAAAUUGUAUAAGUUAUCAAAAUAUUAAGAUUUGAUAUAAUUAUACUCAACAAUAUGUGCAUAUUCUCUGAUCUCAAGAUGUUUAUACUCUAAAUUAACAUUCAAAUUAUGUCAAAAUACAAUGGUAUUUCAGAAAACUUGUAAAAUGUUUCCAAGAGAACUAACAAGGAGUAUAAUGUAAAGAACUUUAGA
ensembl:lncRNA